UACGGAGGAUCCGAGCGUUAUCCGGAUUUAUUGGGUUUAAAGGGAGCGUAGGUGGAUUGUUAAGUCAGUUGUGAAAGUUUGCGGCUCGACCGUAAAAUUGCAGUUGAAACUGGCAGUCUUGAGUACAGUAGAGGUGGGCGGAAUUCGUGGUGUAGCGGUGAAAUGCUUAGAUAUCACGAAGAACUCCGAUUGCGAAGGCAGCUCACUGGACUGCAACUGACACUGAGGCUCGAAAGUGUGGGUAUCAAACAGG
rnacentral:rRNA from 1 species